rnacentral:rRNA from 1 species
CUUCCGUAGGGUGAACCUGCGGAGGGAUCAUUACCGAGUUAUACAACUCAUCAACCCUGUGAACAUACCUAUAACGUUGCGCUCGGCGGGAACAGACGGCCCCGUUAACACGGGCCGCCCCCGCCAGUAGGACCCCCUAACUCUGUUUCUAUAAUGUUUCUUCUGAGUAAACAAGCAAAUAAAUUAAAACUUUCAACAACGGAUCUCUUGGCUCUGGCAUCGAUGAAGAACGCAGGCGUAAAUGCGAUAAGUAAUGUGAAUUGCAGAAUUCAGUGAAUCAUCGAAUCUUUGAACGCACAUUGCGCCCGCCAGUAUUCUGGCGGGCAUGCCUGUUCGAGCGUCAUUACAACCCUCAGGCCCCCGGGCCUGGCGUUGGGGAUCGGCGGAAGCCCCCUGCGGGCACAACGCCGUCCCCCAAAUACAGUGGCGGUCCCGCCGCAGCUUCCAUUGCGUAGUAGCUAACACCUCGCAACUGGAGAGCGGCGCGGCCACGCCGUAAAACACCCAACUUCUGAAUGUUGACCUCGAAUCAUGUUGGAAUACGACCGCUGCCCUUAAGCAUAUCAAUAAG